AAAUUGAAGAGUUUGAUCAUGGCUCAGAUUGAACGCUGGCGGCAGGCCUAACACAUGCAAGUCGAACGGUAACAGGAAGCAGCUUGCUGCUUCGCUGACGAGUGGCGGACGGGUGAGUAAUGUCUGGGAAACUGCCUGAUGGAGGGGGAUAACUACUGGAAACGGUGGCUAAUACCGCAUAACGUCGCAAGACCAAAGAGGGGGACCUUCGGGCCUCUUGCCAUCAGAUGUGCCCAGAUGGGAUUAGCUUGUUGGUGAGGUAACGGCUCACCAAGGCGACGAUCCCUAGCUGGUCUGAGAGGAUGACCAGCCACACUGGAACUGAGACACGGUCCAGACUCCUACGGGAGGCAGCAGUGGGGAAUAUUGCACAAUGGGCGCAAGCCUGAUGCAGCCAUGCCGCGUGUAUGAAGAAGGCCUUCGGGUUGUAAAGUACUUUCAGCGGGGAGGAAGGUGUUGUGGUUAAUAACCGCAGCAAUUGACGUUACCCGCAGAAGAAGCACCGGCUAAC
rnacentral:rRNA from 1 species